AUCUUUCUAGUACAAAAAAUAUAGGUGACUUCCAAUCACUCGAUCUUGGUUAAAAUCCAAGGAAAGAUA
rnacentral:tRNA from 1 species